rnacentral:lncRNA from 1 species
GUGCUUUACGUGCGUUUUCAUUAUAUAUUUUUGUGUUACGCCGCCUUUUUUUUCUCAUAUUAAAAAACUCAUUUUAUAACUUCAAGAGAAUUUUACAUCAAAUUGAACAUGUUUUUCACAAUUUAUUUUCCAUCGCUUUUUAUUUUCUAGAGAGUAUAUUUAUAAUUAGUGUAUAAGCUGACAAAAAAAUUAGAACUGUUACAGCAUAAUAUGCAAACAUGAAUAUUUGCAUAAUGGUUAAAAUUAUCUGUUCAUGCUAAGCCUCUUUAAG